rnacentral:rRNA from 2 species
GAGUGCGAUCAUACCAGCACUAA